AGUGAACGCUGGCGGUAGGCCUAACACAUGCAAGUCGAACGGCAGCACAGUAAGAGCUUGCCCUUACGGGUGGCGGGUGGCGGACGGGUGAGGCAUACAUCGGCAUCUACUUUUUCUUGGGGGAUAACGGGGGGAAACUAAUGAUAAUACCGAAUACUACCUACGGGUGAAAGCAGGGGAGAUUGACGCCUUUGGCGUUUAUAAGAGCCGGUGUCGGAUUAGCUAGUUGGGUAGGUAAAGGCCCACCAAGGCGACGAUCCGUAGCUGGUCUGGGAGGAUGAUCAGCCACACUGGAACUGAGACACGGUCCAGACUCCUACGGGAGGCAGCAGUGGGGAAUAUUGCGCAAUGGGCGAAAGCCUGACCCAGCCAUGCCGCGUGAGUGAAGAAGGUCUUCGGGUUGUAAAGCCCUUUUGUUGGGAAAGAAAAGCAGCAUAAUUAAACCCCGCUGUUCUGACGGUACCCAAAGAGUAAGCACCGGCUAACUUCGUG
rnacentral:rRNA from 1 species